GAAGGAUCAGAUCAUUUCAUAUCAUUAUAAACGAAGAAGACAAGAUUCAAUCUUUAAACACCGAACACUAUACGACACGAACAUGUAUGAAUAAAACGAAAAGAAAACUAGCUUCAACUCAUGCUUGCUUAUCCGUUAGAGUGUUAACUUUAUAACCCCCUAUCAACCCCUCACAAGUAAAUCCCCUAACAUGUACCUUAACUUCUUUUUGUCCUUACCAAGAGUUUUCCCAAGACACAUAAAUGUUAACUCCCACAAAAUGUGCUUUACAUUAAGGUGUUUCCGCG
rnacentral:misc_RNA from 1 species